rnacentral:tRNA from 14 species
CAAAUUAGAGCUUGAUAAAAGUAUUUCAUUUACAUUGAAAAGAUAUUAUAUUAUAAUUAAUUUGA